CGUCUAUAUACGUAUAGCAUAUCAAUAAGCGGAGGAAAAGAAACUAACAAGGAUUCCCCUAGUAACGGCGAGUGAAGCGGGAAGAGCUCAAAUUUGAAAUCUUCAAGGUUCUGCCUUGACGAAUUGUAGUUUAAAGAAGUGUUUUCUGUUGGAGUUUUGGUAAAAGUUCUUUGGAAUAGGACAUCAUAGAGGGUGAGAAUCCCGUAUUUGACCAUUAUUUCCAACUUUGUGAUACACUUUCAAAGAGUCGGAUUGUUUGGGAAUGCAGUCCAAAAUGGGUGGUAAAUUUCAUCUAAAGCUAAAUACUGGCGAGAGACCGAUAGCGAACAAGUACCGUGAGGGAAAGAUGAAAAGAACUUUGAAAAGAGAGUUAAACAGUACGUGAAAUUGUCAAAAGGGAAGCGUUUGACACCAGUGUUGUUUUCUCGAAAAUCAAUUAAAAAUGGUGGGAUGUUGUGUUGUAUUGACUUUAUCAGCUUUCUGCACUUUUUUUCCUAUGUCUUUUUAAUGCACUUUUCGUUAACAAGUCAACAUCAAUUUCUUUUGCUGUAAAAGGGUCAUUGGAAGGUGGCUUUCUUUUCGGAGAAAGUGUUUAUAGCCUUUGGCUUCUGCAAUCGGAGAGAUUGAGGUCUGCAGCGUAGAUCCUUCGGGGUUAGAUGCAUUUGUGCUAAGUUAUAGCCUUUCAUAGACAACUUGUUGACUAUGAUUCAGUCAUGUAGCUUACUCGCUUAUGUCUAUUUUACCUACGCUUAGGAUGUUGAUAUGCAUGACUGAUAU
rnacentral:rRNA from 1 species